rnacentral:rRNA from 1 species
AUGAACGCUAGCUACAGGCUUAACACAUGCAAGUCGAGGGGCAUCAGGAAGAAAGCUUGCUUUCUUUGCUGGCGACCGGCGCACGGGUGAGUAACACGUAUCCAACCUGCCCUUUACUCGGGGAUAGCCUUUCGAAAGAAAGAUUAAUACCCGAUAGCAUAAUGAUUCCGCAUGGUUUCAUUAUUAAAGGAUUCCGGUAAAGGAUGGGGAUGCGUUCCAUUAGGUUGUUGGUGAGGUAACGGCUCACCAAGCCUUCGAUGGAUAGGGGUUCUGAGAGGAAGGUCCCCCACAUUGGAACUGAGACACGGUCCAAACUCCUACGGGAGGCAGCAGUGAGGAAUAUUGGUCAAUGGGCGCUAGCCUGAACCAGCCAAGUAGCGUGAAGGAUGAAGGCUCUAUGGGUCGUAAACUUCUUUUAUAUAAGAAUAAAGUGCAGUAUGUAUACUGUUUUGUAUGUAUUAUAUGAAUAAGGAUCGGCUAACUCCGUGCCAGCAGCCGCGGUAAUACGGAGGAUCCGAGCGUUAUCCGGAUUUAUUGGGUUUAAAGGGAGCGUAGGUGGACUGGUAAGUCAGUUGUGAAAGUUUGCGGCUCAACCGUAAAAUUGCAGUUGAUACUGUCAGUCUUGAGUACAGUAGAGGUGGGCGGAAUUCGUGGUGUAGCGGUGAAAUGCUUAGAUAUCACGAAGAACUCCGAUUGCGAAGGCAGCUCACUGAACUGCAACUGACACUGAUGCUCGAAAGUGUGGGUAUCAAACAGGAUUAGAUACCCUGGUAGUCCACACAGUAAACGAUGAAUACUCGCUGUUUGCGAUAUACAGUAAGCGGCCAAGCGAAAGCAUUAAGUAUUCCACCUGGGGAGUACGCCGGCAACGGUGAAACUCAAAGGAAUUGACGGGGGCCCGCACAAGCGGAGGAACAUGUGGUUUAAUUCGAUGAUACGCGAGGAACCUUACCCGGGCUUAAAUUGCAGUGGAAUGAUGUGGAAACAUGUCAGUGAGCAAUCACCGCUGUGAAGGUGCUGCAUGGUUGUCGUCAGCUCGUGCCGUGAGGUGUCGGCUUAAGUGCCAUAACGAGCGCAACCCUUAUCUUUAGUUACUAACAGGUCAUGCUGAGGACUCUAGAGAGACUGCCGUCGUAAGAUGUGAGGAAGGUGGGGAUGACGUCAAAUCAGCACGGCCCUUACGUCCGGGGCUACACACGUGUUACAAUGGGGGGUACAGAAGGCAGCUAGCGGGUGACCGUAUGCUAAUCCCAAAAUCCUCUCUCAGUUCGGAUCGAAGUCUGCAACCCGACUUCGUGAAGCUGGAUUCGCUAGUAAUCGCGCAUCAGCCACGGCGCGGUGAAUACGUUCCCGGGCCUUGUACACACCGCCCGUCAAGCCAUGGGAGCCGGGGGUACCUGAAGUGCGUAACCGCGAGGAGCGCCCUAGGGUAAAACUGGUGACUGGGGCU